UCCCACCCAUCCCCCCGGUUCCUACGCCUGUGUUUGUAAUAGUUUGUUUGUGCUCACACAUUUUAAUUCACUUUAAUUAAUUCAGUUUCAUUUAUGUUGCUGUAUAUUUUUAAUUGGAGAAAGAUAAUUAGUUCAAUUGCCUGUCAGUCAAAAGCCUGAUUAGUGGGCGGGGCUAGGAGCUGAGAGAGAGCAAGCACGCCAAGCUGACUCAACACCGCUGGACAGAUUGUUGACCAAAACAUCUCCAAACUGUGGCUACUGGGCAGUUAAACCUCCUGUGUGACGCUUUAAAGCAUCUUAAAUGAGGUCCAUGUUGACAUCAGCCGGCAGACUCCACAGACCUGUAGAGGACCUGAAGGAGAUUUCUACCAGCUCCAUCCAUUCAGCACAUUCCACCUUCUAUUGUAAAAGCAGCUCUCGUGAUGCCGUGUGAUUUUCUGUGAUUUUUGUGGCGACUGCUUUUCGGACUAUUAUCUUCAGUCAGUUUGGAAUUCCUCCAAGACCAGCUUUCCUGAAACUCUCUUCAAGGAGAGAAUUAUCUUUGAUCUUUUAGCACUUUCUGAUGCCGACACGCAGAGGCUGUGCUCCUCUUGAGUUCUCCAAAAUGAUUAAAGCGACUGGCCCUAAACUGCGAGGGCCGAAGCCAAUUUCCUCCUGUGUCAGGCAAAUCCGUGCGAUGGCCAUUGUAUCGUGAUUAAAAAGCUGAAAUGGUUUAUUAAAGACUCUUAAAUAUGUGAAUGUAUCAUAAUAAUGAUGAUUUUUAGGACAUUUCAGUGGUCUCUAGUUUGCAGUGUAGUAAUACUGCCCCCUUUUGAAUGGAGAAACCCUUAGAAAAGGGGGAGCUAAGAAUUUUUGGUUAGUAGAACUUUUUCUGAAUGUUAUAAUUAACAUUUUUUGGAUGUUUUUUCAAACUUUUACUUUAAUGUUUUUAAUUGUUCUGGUAACAUCACUGCAACAUCACUUUAACAGCGUCAAUGCUUUUAGUUUUAGUUUUGUGAAUGUUAAUUUUAACAUUUUCAUAACAUAACAUUAUGUGAGAAAUGUUCUACUAAUGUUGUUAUCUCACACAUUUUCAGAACCUCCCUGGAACAUUAUCUUUGUAAUGUUACAGGUUAAACUUUGUGAAAUAUUUACAAAACGUUUUGCUCAAAUGCUCUUAUAACAUUCUCUACAAGCUGGAAUGGUUCGUAAUGACUCUUGAGUUGAACACAGGUAAAGCUUAUCAAUGUAGCACAUUUACAGAAUGUUGGGAGUCUAUUAAACUUUUUAAAACAUC